rnacentral:lncRNA from 1 species
AAGGAAACCUAUUGCCUUUGGAGGAAGCUUAGUCUACUUUUGGACAGUUCUCACUGUUGGAAAAAUUUUCCUGAUACCAAGCUUGUAUUUGCUUCCUUGCAGCAUCUAACCAUUAUUCCUGGUUCUACCCUUUAGGAACAAAGAGAAAAAUUUUUCUAAAUGACACGUCUUCAAGUACCUAGAGAUGCUCUUCAGUUUAUCACUGUCUAUGAAUGAUGAUGCCCAGAACUAAACAGAAUAAUUUAGAUGUGAUCUUAUUGGGGCAGUAUGUAGAAAAACUAUCAUCUCCUUAUUCCUGGAAGAUACACCUCCUUUAAUGUGGUCUAAGAUUGCAAGGAAUUGUUUGGUUGCCACCUCAUACCACUUCUUCGUAUUGAAGUUGCUAUCCACUAACAUUACCAGAUCUAAAAGCACUUCAGGAACUAUGGAAAUCCAUGCUGAAGGAAGUGAAAGGUCAAUAAACUACAAGUAAAAGCCAAAAGAAGAAAAAAAGGACCAAAAAUAAUUAAAUAAUCUCCAUGUUGUUAGUUCAAGAUGUGAGCCAGUAUUGAAGAGGCUCCAUUUUCCUAUCCUGAACCUGAUCCAGAAUGGUGGAAGAGAGCAGGAUACAGAGUAAAAGAGCAAAGCAUCAGGGUCCCCAUUAUGAGGCCACUGUACUGAGUUCCUGAAUAUCGUAUCUGAAGAAACCAUAAAAGAAAAUAACUUAGAACAAUU